rnacentral:rRNA from 1 species
UACGUAGGUGGCAAGCGUUGUCCGGAAUUAUUGGACGUAAAGCGCGCGCAGGUGGUUUCUUAAGUCUGAUGUGAAAGCCCACGGCUCAACCGUGGAGGGUCAUUGGAAACUGGGGAACUUGAGUGCAGGAGAGAAGAGUGGAAUUCCACGUGUAGCGGUGAAAUGCGUAGAGAUGUGGAGGAACACCAGGGGCGAAGGCGACUCUUUGGCCUGUAACUGACACUGAGGCGCGAAAGCGUGGGGAGCAAACAGG